AGGAAAAAGAAGAAAGAUGAGGUGGAGAAGGAAGAGACAAGAAUUUCCUUGUGGAACUGAGUCUGCAUUGCUAAUAAACUGGUAUAAAACACUGCAGUGACCGCAACUGGCAUACUGCCUGUGUGUUGCAACAUCUUGGUUAACCAGAUGGGGAAGGACAAAACCCACAGCUUCUAAACCAAAGAAAAAGCCUACCCAGAAUGGAAUUCAGCUUUAAAUUGAAGUGUGGUUUGGGGAUCAGUUGUCCAAAGCCACGUGUUUCACGGUUAACUGGGCUGAAACUGCAGCGGCGGGAGUUUGCAAGUAUGCAUAGCUCAGAAUUCAUGGAAAAAUAGGGUGGUCUCUGCAAAGCAGGUGAAAAUGUAGGACAGCAGCUUCAAACAGUGUCUUAACAGCACACAACAGCUAGUGCUUUUUCUUUGCUGUGAGAACAUAGCUGUUCCCAUGUUCCUGCAAGUAGCAGACCUAGCUAACAACUUGCUGGGCCUAAUACCUUCCUGUUACUGGGCCCUGUUUGCUGUUGCUGGCACCCAGGCUUCUGUUUACGUGGCUGGGCUGUUCUGGAAGCUUUUUACAGACUGAUUCAGGUGUUUCAAAGGAAUGGGAAGCCAAUAUUUUAUGUAUGUCAAAGCAUGUCUGUGAGUCAGGGGCUUUUGUGAGCCCGUGCUUGAAAUUUGGGGGUUGGGAGACAAAAAUGCUGCCUUCAGCAAGCAUUAGGCAUUUGGAAAAAUAGAAGUCCUCUGUCCUCAACACAGCUGCCAAAUAAGGUGGAGCACAGGAUCCUCUACCCUGGCAAUUCACAGCAGUUGUAUGCCUGUGGAUGUCUGAGAACCGAUACCUGGGAUCUUUGUCUAGCUUUUGCUCCUUUACAGUUUAUGUCAGCUCUGUGCGCUUGGAGCAGGAACUACCCUUGCCUCCACCUGGUCCUUCAGGCUCAGCAGAAGACCUGAGGGCAGACCUGAGGGCUGUGAGAAUGCUCCCACCAGAAAGGAAAUAGGUGGUGGUCGUGGAGUGGAAGAACAGCACAAUACGGACACAAAACGUGCUGAAUGAGCUUGGGAAGCAGCAGAGCCAAAAUGGCAAGUGUCACCUUCAGUGCUGGCUUUGGCAGCCUUUCUGUUCCUCUAACACAGCCAUUUUGGCUGCAAUAUUUAUUCAAGCAGAUGGGAUGAGCUUCGUAAUUGUUCAUUUCUUAGAUGACUCACUGUGCCAGAUAAGCUGAUAAUGAUGGGCUAUGGGAUCUUCGGUGAUCUUGUUUGGGCAUCUUCACAAAGCCUGUCCUGACUUUCAUACCAGUAACAAUAAAAAAGACCGAAAAGCAUUUGCAAAGUUUCUAAGGUUGCAAAACAUUAAUAGUGGUGAAUACUUUUUAAAGCCUGAAAUAACACCAAGAUGUGAAAGUUUUUUUCAGUUUCUCAAGACAGACUAUACUUUGCUAUAAUUAUAGAUGGGGUGUAAAGAUAAUAUGUAUUAUUAUAAGUGUCUUUGAACUUGAUGCUUUCUCUAAGAGGCUUGCUACAUACCCUUUGGAUUCACAUGUUCAAGUUGGUAAAUAUUAUUGCCAUUAUGCAGAAGGAGCUGAGGCAGGGAUUGUUUGCUAUUUGUAGGAGCCUAAAAAACUGACUGGCUGAGCUAAAAGCAGAAGACAAGCUGAGUUGCCUAGGGCCUUAAACACAACUCUGCGUUGAAUGAAACAAAAGAUCACACACAACGUGUAUUGAGCACACCGCCCUCUCCGUCUCAAUCAGGAUGGAGUGGCUGGGAACAUUUGUAAAGCCUUUCUUCCCAGCCAAGAGCCACCAGGGAACAGGGAAGUCGCCCCAGAUGGGAGAGGACUUCUGCACAUGCACAUUGAGGUGCUUAUAAUUACAGGAGGACAUCGCCGAGUGAUCAUCCACACAUGCACGUCCACCUGGGCAUGCAGGUUGCCCAAGAAGCCCCUGUUCUGCAGCAGCCAAAGGCAACAGCAUGAAGCUGACACUGCUGCCAAUCUCCUCGCCACCCACGGGGUUGGGAAUAGCAGCACGGAGACGGCUCAGCCCUGCAAACCCACCCCAGAGCUGCAAGCGAUGGAAAGGAGAGAUUGAAGAGGUUUUUGGUGCUGCGACAGUGGAGGAGCUGGACCUCGAUGCUUGCCAGCCUGGUGCUGAGGAGGUGGGUCUUCCCAGCCCCGUCGGCGGCAGUCUGAGAACAUUCUGGGACCAAGAAGCCCCUUCUGCUUCAUGCCUGGUUUUCCUCCUACUCCUCCUCUGUGCUGCGGCGCGAGUGGGCAAGCUUGAGCAGAAAUCUGACUGUUCCCCUCUGUUUUAAUUUGCAUUUGGGGGGGGUUGUUUUGCUUUGUCUUGGAGAAAAACAAGAAGUUGAGAUACCCAAUAGGGGGGGAAAAAAAAAGUGGGCCAAGAUGUAACAAACAGGAUGGCAGCAUUUCCAAGUUGCACCCUGCUGAAAGCUGUUGUCAAACUUGGUGUGGGCAGAGAGAGACGCAGGGACGCAGGGAAGUGUCAGAUAUGUAUGGCUUAGGAACGCGCAGGCUGGGGACAUGGAGCAGCUCUAACCCUGGGGCUCAGCUGCCCAAGGAAAGGCUUCAGGAGCUGUCAAGAGGGGCUGGUUCAGGUGCGCAUUAACGGGGAGAAAACUCAAGCUAGGGUGGGGAGUGGGCAGGACAGGCUGUGGAUGAACAUCUGGGGUCAUUUGGCACCAAAACAGGCCAGAGCAAGGCUGUACAGGAGGAGGGAUGGACUCAAUUUGCUUUUGAGCAUCUCGGGGCUGGAAAUGGUAACAAGACAGAGGAGGUUUGUCUUUGAGAGCUAGGGAUGGGAUAAAGGCAGAUAGUUAUGCAGAAAGAUUAAAGUGCUCACUGUGCCUGUUUUAUUUCAGCCAGGGCAUGCGUCAGGUAGCAAUCAGAAGCAUCCCAAGCAAGUAAGGAUGGGGAGAAGGUGGGUCAGGAGCUAAAAUGGGGUCACAGUGAGGAAAAAAAAAAAGAAAGCAUCACCUCCUGAUGUAUCAGGAAGCAUUUCCUUGGGUGAGCACUAACAGGCAGGGACAAGGACACGUGUGUGCCCCUCCAGCAUCGAAUUAGUGCUGGGAUUAAAAGUGGGUGUGCAGCCGGAAGGUGCUGCGGUGAAUACGAGGAGUGAUGCUCUUGGGUAAAUCUGGAGAGGAAAGAGCCUGAA